UACAUGGGGUGCAAACGUUGCUCGGAAUUAUUGGGCGUAAAGCGCACGUGGGCGGUUUGUUAAGUCGGAUGUGAAAUCCCUCGGCUCAACUGAGGAAGUGCAUCCGAAACUGGCAAGCUUGAGUACGAAAGAGGGUCGCGGAAUUCCCGGUGUAGAGGUGAAAUUCGUAGAUAUCGGGAGGAACACCGGUGGCGAAGGCGGCGACCUGGGUCGAUACUGACGCUGAGGUGCGAAAGCGUGGGGAGCAAACAGG
rnacentral:rRNA from 1 species